rnacentral:rRNA from 1 species
AUUGAACGCUGGCGGCAUGCCUUACACAUGCAAGUCGAACGGUAACAGGUCUUCGGAUGCUGACGAGUGGCGAACGGGUGAGUAAUACAUCGGAACGUGCCUAGUAGUGGGGGAUAACUACUCGAAAGAGUGGCUAAUACCGCAUGAGAUCUACGGAUGAAAGCAGGGGAUCGCAAGACCUUGUGCUACUAGAGCGGCCGAUGGCAGAUUAGGUAGUUGGUGGGAUAAAAGCUUACCAAGCCGACGAUCUGUAGCUGGGCUGAGAGGAAGCUCGGCCACACUGGGACUGAGACACGGCCCAGACGCCUACGGGAGGCAGCAGUGGGGAAUUGUGGACAAUGGGCGCAAGCCUGAUCCAGCAAUGCCGCGUGCAGGAUGAAGGCCUUCGGGUUGUAAACUGCUUUUGUACGGAACGAAAAGCCCUGGGUUAAUACCCUGGGGUCAUGACGGUACCGUAAGAAUAAGCACCGGCUAACUACGUGCCAGCCGCCGCCGUAACAC